GAGAAACAGCAUUUAAAGAUUGGUCUCGGGACUGGUUUUGAUUAGAAAAAAGGGUAUAAUGUUUUGUUGUUGGUUUUUUUAAAAAGGGCCCAGCGUUCUCUUGGUGUCUUUUUCCACACAAACCCUUUGAGGAGCUCAAGCUGUUUGCUGCCGAUGUGUGAUAGGAGCUCCCCGAGGCGUCGCAUCCCCAAAGAGACGUGUCAGGAUUCGGCUGAUGUCAAAACGAAUAAAAAUAUCAAACUUCUCAGGGUUCUGUAUUUUUCCAAGUGCCUUUACAAAACUUGGAUUCAAAAGGCAGGCCUCGGUUGUAGACCGCGUAGACGUUUUGAGGGUUGCCUCAAAGGGACAGACUGAGGAACCCAUUAGGAACACCGCCUCAAUGACAGAGAAGCCACAAGCAAUAUUUCCAUGCUGGAGGAAACGGCCUAAAGAAAACGUACCUGGAGAAAAGUCCUGAGCUGAAAUCUCUGAAAUAUGCGCUUAGCCUUUACACCCAACCCACAGAUGCCUUGAUCAAAAAAUAUAUAUGCACCCAGAUGUCUCAAGGUAAGAAGUAAUUCUGUUGUUGGGAUAAAUCUUAGUGAUGAUGGAGGGUGUGUGUGUGUUGGGAGGGGGGUGUUUUUUACUGUGAAUAACCCAGAUGUGAGUUAUAAACAAGCAGGGGAAAGGAUAAGUGGCUUUAUUCUCAUAAUAUUGUUUGUAUUGAUCAUCACUGAGAUGGAGAUGAGAUCUAUUGGGUAUAGUAGUGCAAUAAAUGGUGCAAAUGCAUUGCUGUAAAAUCUAAAGAGAUGGGUGGGUUUAAUGGGACAGAACAUUGCUAAAUCGUGAACACAACAGGCGCUCCCUGUGGUUUCAAUUCUAAUUGUAGUGCAGCUGAAUAAUGAUGUUCAAUAUCGUAUUCCGGCUCUCAAGGCGGUGCUUCGAAAGAGAUACUGUUUACAAGAGGAUGUAUAGUGUGUAGUUCUGGAAACUUGCUCAGAUAUUGCAAAUAAGUCAUUUCAUGUGGAGUGAAUACAUGGCAUGGCAUGGCGUGAGACAUUGCAAGACACUGUGGGACAGUCUGAGACAUUGCGAGACACUGUGGGACAGUCUGAGACAUUGUGGCACAAUGUGAGACAUUGUGAGAGAGUCUGAGACAGUCUGAGACAUUGCGAGACACUCUGGGACAGUCUGAGACAUUAUGGCACGGUGUGAGACAUUGUGAGACUGUAAGGUGUGAGACAAUGUGAGAUGUUGUGAGACAUUAUUAAGAGUUUGGUUUGGACAAAAAGAAGAUGCCCAGAAGCAUGCCGGAACAAUACGCC
ensembl:lncRNA